UCGUCUGGCGUCUCGCCGGUGACUCGCUGUUUCUCCGAUGUCAAAGCACAAGAAAAAGAAGGGAUCGUCCCGUCCUCGACCAAAAGUUCCUGGUACUUCUCAGUUCGCCCGCUUCUCGUCUGCUUCUGUGUCUCUCCCGACUCGAGGCGAUUCUUCGGGUUCAUCCGCCGCAGCUGCAAUUGGCUUCUCUUCCGAUGUCUCUGCCGCGGUUUCCUCAGCUCCUUCUCAAGCAAUUGGGUCGGAUGCUUGCUCUUCUCCUCCUGAUUUGGCUUCUCCAGAUCUGAAGACUCCUAUUGCUAUGCAAGUUGAUAUUUCUCUUCCUGGGAACUCUCUAGUUGGUACAAUCGGAACCUCUGU
rnacentral:lncRNA from 1 species